CAUGUCUUUUUGAUUAUAAUUUAAGGUCUAAUCUGCUCAAUGAUUAUAUUAAAUUGCCGCAGUAUUUUGACUGUGCAAAGGUAGCAUAAUAAUUAGUUUCUUAAUUAGGAACUGGGAUGAAUGAUUGGACAAGAAAAUUUCUGUCUCUCUUUUAAAAUUUGAAUUUUAUUUUUAAGUGAAAAAGCUUAAAUUUUUAUAAAAGACGAGAAGACCCUAUAGAGUUUAAUAAAUUAAUUAAAUUAAUUUUUAGUAAUACUUAUUGUAAUAAUUUAUUUAGUUGGGGUGACUAAAAGAUAAAAAAAAUUCUUUAAUUAUUAAGUUAAUAAUUUUUAAUUUUUAUAUUUAAAAUUGUUAAAUUUAAAAUAAAUUACCUUAGGGAUAACAGCGUAAUUUUUCUUAAAAGUUCUUAUUUAAAGGAAAGUUUGCGACCUCGAUGUUGGAUUAAAAUUAAUUUUUGGUGCAAUAACUUAAAAAUUAGGUCUGUUCGACCUUUAAAAUUUUACAUGAUCUGAGUUUAAACCGGUGUAAACCAGGUUGGAUUCUAUCUUUAGAAAAUAAGAUAUAUUUUAGUACGAAAGGACCAAAUAUAUAUUAAAUUAAUUG
rnacentral:rRNA from 1 species